rnacentral:lncRNA from 1 species
CAAGUUCGAGUAGGGGUUCAAGAACAACCUCACAAUGAUAUGAUGUUGAUCAUUCUCGUUGCCUACCUUCAUACAUCAUGUAUGCAUAUAGAACUCAUCAUGAGUGUAAGCACGCACUUUGUACUCCCCCAUGAUAGGGUGAAGUCGGUGUACGAGUCACAAACGAUAUGAGCCUACCACGGUGGAAGGCCACGAAAGAGUGUUCAAAGCACUCUCACGCUUAUUAACUUAAUAAUGGUUUGGUUGAGGGUUUUAGGUCUCAUCACAUAUAAGCAUGCAUUUUAAUCUUAUUAAAACAAUUUGGUCCUAUUACAACUAUUGGUCCAUGUGAUUGAUUUAGUUGUAUAUGAUACUCCCACUAUGCUUGUAAAACGGUUUUUAAAGUAAGAGUAUAUUGUACUACUAACAUAAGGUUUGCAUUCAUUGAUGGACUAUAUAGUUGCCUUAGGGCCUUAGGAUGACUAUGAACCUUUGAUUCGAUCCAACAUGAGCCUAGUGUUGAAUCUCGGUCUAGGGAUGGUGAUUGAUUUUAGUUACGCGUUUAAUCACAUUAAGGUGUGUUUUCUUAUUGGGCGUUGGACCCUCUACUCCAAUUUCAUGCAUAUCAAAUAAAACAAGAAAGGAGUACUUCAAAGUAAAGAAGAGUUUAUGCUCUUUUACAACAUUUGAUCAAAACAAAUUACUUUAAAGUAAAGAAGAGCUUAUGCUUUUUUACAACAUUUGAUCAUAUCAAAUUACAACCAAAAUCUAAUCUACACAUUCCCAUGGUUCAAACAAAUAGAGAUGGCCUUUCACAUAGCUCAAUUAUCGUAGGCUUAGGUUCAUAAUCACCCUUUCUUUAAUUAAUUAAUGCUUUAACUAAUUAAACUUGAAUGCAACAUUUUCAUUUGGUUUUUGUUUCCAUAGAAUUGAUUUAAAUGGAGCUAAAUGAAAUGAAAAUCCAAUUCUCAUUUAAAGAUACAAAACUAUUUUGUUCUCAACUACUUUGGGCCGAAAAACAAUAACCUCAACUAUUGGGCUAUAUUGCAAAACACAAACUUUUGAGGUCACUUUGUAAAAACACAAAUGUCCACUACUUCAUGUAAUUACAACUAGAACCCAAAAAUUUCAUCAAAAUACAAAAACUUCAUUAAAGGAGCAAAACAUUUUGUCCUUUAGUGAUUUGGGCCUUUACGUAAAAACGUUAACUUUCGGGUCAAAGUACAAAUACACAAAACUAUAAAAACUUUAUGUAAUUGCAUAAAAGCCCCAAAAGUACCCUAUUUAAUAGGGUGACCUAUUUUGGAUGAGAGAUGGUGUCAUAAAACUUUUGAAUUUUUCAACAAAAGUGAAAGGUGAUGCAGGUUUGAAAAAAUGAUUUCCAUAAAACAUGGUUCCUUGAAACAAGGAAAAUGUGUAAGUGAUUGGUAUGAUGUUGAUUAAAAAAUGACAAAUCAUGUCAUACCAUUUAUUACAAUAAAGUCACACCAAUCACCAUAUACAAAACUUUAUAAAAAACAUCAAACAUUGUGAAUCAAAACACCAAACAUUUUUGUUAUUGGUUAGAACAUAACAAGAACAAUGAAGAACAUCCAUGAAAACCCAUAAGAGCUCCAUGAACAUUUUUCACCCAAAGACACCCCAAAAACUCUCAAACUUAAGGGAAAAAAUAUAUUACCAUACUAGGGUACUUAGGGGUUCCUAAUGUCACUUUAAAACACUUUUAACAAGACAAACAUGAACCAAAAAAUCCACCAUUUGGAUUUGGCCGAAUUUCCCCAAAAACAUGGCACCAAAUUUUAGCUCCAAAAUUCAUGCUCAUAUGAACUACAUCUACAACAUUUGAGAUGGCAAAUUUCUAACAAAAUUUACAUUCAAAGAAGCAAGAAUAAAGCUUGUAACAAUUACAACAUUCAAAUCAUAAACUAUGAAAAUACAAAACCCAAAAGGAUUCACCAACUACUAGACCUAGGCUCUUGAUACCACUUGAAGGAACUUUUGUGAAAAACAUGUUCAUUUGAGCAACAUCUAUGGCAUGCAAUUAACAUUUAAAGGCGGAAUCAUGCUUGUAUGCACUCAAAACAAAACAUUACCCAUGAAAUUCAAAGCCUAGUAGUUAUGUGAACCAAGACUCAACUAAAAAACAAAGUGAGUUGAGAAAUUUUAUACCUUUGUUGAUUCCUCUUUGCAUAAGCAAAGGCUAAUAACCCAAGGAGAGGGCCUUCAUUCCUUGCUUCUUAGCUCCAUGGAUUUCUUGGAUGAGGAUGGUUGAAAGGAUUCUCCAAGUUUCCAAAGUUGAGAACCUCUAAGUCUCCACACCAAGUAGGACUUGAAGAAGAGAUGAGUGACCUAGAGGAAGUAAAAUGCUAGCUAAAAUCCUCUAGGGUGGCCGGCCUCUUAGAGAGAAAAUGGAGCUUGUGUUCUCAUCUUUUUUCCCAAAAGAAACCUUAAGGAUGAAAUGGCUAUAAAGUUGCCUUUAUACCACCUCACAAUGGAGUGGCAAACUUGCAAUUAAGCCAAGUUCACUACCCCCUCUCUAUAUGGCCGGUUUUCCCAAGCCUUUGGGCUAUUUUGGGCUUCUUGAAUUUUGUUUGUUAAGUUGUCAUACAACUUAAGCUAAUGGGCUUGACGAUUCAAAGCCCAAUUUGGGCUUUAAGGCCCAAAACUAACUCAAGGUUUAAAACGAACUUAUUCGUUUGAUUAAUUAACAUAUUAAUUAAUUCUUGCCAUAAACAAUUAAACCAUUUAGCGAGGUAGUGGACGAUCCAUUAGGUUCCUUUUAGCGAGGCAGUGGACGAUUAGAACUCUUUCAAAUCG